AGCUGCUGCGUACCUAGCCUGAUCCUAACAUAACCUAACCUAACCUAAUCUGACUCGAAGCUGGCUGUCAUUCGGCGAGUGUCCAUCCUUCCCAAUUUUACUUCCAAUAAAGAUUGCGAUUCAAAAUUAAUGAGUUGUACAUAAAAGAGGACGUGUCGUCAAAAAGAAAAUUAUGAAGUGUUGAAAUGGCCACUGCAUGCAGGAAUAUACUAAGGGGACAUUCAAUCAAGAACUUGAAUCGUUACAGCCAAGUUUUAGUCGCUAAAUAUGGUCAUCUGAGCGAGAACCCAACGGCUGGAAUUAUCAUUAUCGGAGAUGAGAUAUUGAAAGCCCAAGUCAAAGACACCAACUCCAAUUACAUAUGUAGGCUAUUGUAUAACUGUGGAGUUAAAGUGAAAAAAAUUUCAGUAGUUAGUGACGAGGUUGACCGCAUUGCAGAGGAGAUGGUUAAUUUUUCCGAGAAAUACACGUAUGUUAUAACGUCUGGCGGAAUUGGGCCGACACACGACGAUGUUACCUUUGAAGCACUUGCAAAGGCAUUCAACGACUCGCUGCACCAUCAUCCGAAACUUGUCGAAGUUGUGAAAACGUUUUCUUCCUCCCAAGACAUCUCUUCUCCUGGGUAUAAACUGGCUUAUAUACCUAUGUCCGCCUCACUGACGUUUGGUAAAAGUCAAGAAACUGGUGAAAAAUUGUUUUACCCGUGUGUCAGCGUAAAAAAUGUACAUGUUUUUCCUGGCUCCCCAAUUUUCUUGCAUAAAUCGUUUGGGAACGUGUACAAGGAAUUAUUCGCGGCUGGUAGAAAUUUCGUUACCAAGGAAAUAUACCUUGGAGUUAGGGAAGAGCUGUUUGCCGAUGCCUUGUCUGCCGUCUCCAAAGAAUUUUCCAAUGUCACAUUUGGCUCUUACCCAACCUCAAAUCACAGCUACUAUCAUGCACGGGUUACUGUGGAGAGCAGCAGCGAAGAUGAUACCAAUAAAGCAGUGGCAAGGUUCAGAGAUUUGGCCCCUGAGAAUGCAAUCGUGAAUUAUGACAAUGAUCCGUUGACAGAUGCUCUAAGAAAAUUCAAGGCAUUCGUCGCUGUUGACAAGCAAGGUUCAAUCUACGAAGCGACCUUAACAACUCUCAAGGAAAUAUACAGCAAUCCCUCAAAUGUAGCUGUCUGCUUUGAUGGUAGCAUAGAAAGCACGGUGUUGCUCCAUCUCGUACACGUCAAUAAUCUACUCGGAGCAAAGGCCAAGCUUCAGGCUGUUCAUUUGAAACUCGAAAAUCCCGUCGCGGAUGUUGACGAAUUCAUUAAAGAGACCGUAGUCAGGUAUGAUGUUAAUUUACAUCAUUUGGAUGGCUCUGCAAAGGCAGCUAUUGAAAACCUUGCUGUACUAAGGCCAGAAAUCGAAACUCUGUUGCUCGGCCUGAAAGGAGACAAGCUCGAAGGAGGGCUGUGGCACGAAUUUGCUAAAAGUGGAAGUAUCGGUCAGAUUCGCUUAAUCUCCCCACUGACAAAGUGGAGCUAUAAAGACGUGUGGAAUUUCGCUCGAUCUCUGAGUUUGCCUUACUGCAAACUUUAUGACAGAGGAUACACAUCGCUGGGUAGUCAGACGGACACAGAACCAAACCCGAAUUUGUUGAAAGGGAAGAUUGGGAAACAGAUGGUGUAUCAUCCCGCUCACAUGCUGGCAGACGUGAAGUUGGAAAGAGCCGGUAGGAUCCCGCAAGAUCACCCCGAAUUGUAAAGGAUCUGAUGUUUCCGGACAUUUUUUGUUUAAACUUUGGAUUCCGAGUUUCAUGAGAUCCCCAGUCAUGUGUACGAUGCUUGGCAGUGGUUAAAAUAAGAAUGACAUCACGGAAAACGGAUCGAAGCUUAUUCCGAACAACUUUGACGAGUAUUUCGCGACUGGCUGAUUCAUCCAAGGAGGAAUACGACCAUAUUCCGCAGGAUAAAUCUUGUGCAGAGACCGCAGUGAGCCAGCAAAG
rnacentral:misc_RNA from 1 species